AUUGAACGCUGGCGGCAUGCUUUACACAUGCAAGUCGAACGGUAACAGGCCUUCGGGUGCUGACGAGUGGCGAACGGGUGAGUAAUGCAUCGGAACGUACCCAGAGGUGGGGGAUAACGCAGCGAAAGCUGUGCUAAUACCGCAUGUGAACUGAGGAUGAAAGCGGGGGACCGAGCAGCAAUGUUUGGCCUCGCGCCUUUGGAGCGGCCGAUGUCGGAUUAGCUAGUUGGUGGGGUAAAGGCCUACCAAGGCGACGAUCCGUAGCUGGUCUGAGAGGACGACCAGCCACACUGGGACUGAGACACGGCCCAGACUCCUACGGGAGGCAGCGGUGGGGAAUUUUGGACAAUGGGCGCAAGCCUGAUCCAGCAAUGCCGCGUGCGGGAAGAAGGCCUUCGGGUUGUAAACCGCUUUUGGCAGGAACGAAACGGUGUCCGCUAAUACCGGGCGCUAAUGACGGUACCUGCAGAAUAAGCACCGGCUAACUACGUG
rnacentral:rRNA from 1 species